rnacentral:rRNA from 1 species
GAUGAACGCUAGCUACAGGCUUAACACAUGCAAGUCGAGGGGCAGCAUGAACUUAGCUUGCUAAGUUUGAUGGCGACCGGCGCACGGGUGAGUAACACGUAUCCAACCUGCCGAUGACUCGGGGAUAGCCUUUCGAAAGAAAGAUUAAUAUCCGAUAGCAUAUAUUUCCCGCAUGGGUUUUAUAUUAAAGAAAUUCGGUAUGAGAUGGGGAUGCGUUCCAUUAGUUUGUUGGCGGGGUUAACGGCCCGACCAAGACUACGAUGGAUAGGGGUUCUGAGNGGAAGGUCCCCCGACAUUGGAACUGAGACACGGUCCAAACUCCUACGGGAGCAGCAGUGAGGAAUAUUGGUCAAUGGGCGAGAGCCUGAACC